rnacentral:rRNA from 1 species
CGACCUGAGAGGGUGGCCGGCCACAUUGGGACUGAGACACGGCCCAAACUCCUACGGGAGGCAGCAGUGGGGAAUAUUGCACAAUGGGCGGAAGCCUGAUGCAGCGACGCCGCGUGAGCGAAGAAGUAUUUCGGUAUGUAAAGCUCUAUCAGCAGGGAAGAAAAUGACGGUACCUGACUAAGAAGCUCCGGCUAAAUACGUGCCAGCAGCCGCGGUAAU